GAGAAGGCUGUGACUGCUGUGCUCUGGGCGCCAGCUCGCUCCAGGGAGUGAUGGGAAUCCUAUCAUUCUUACCUGUCCUUGCCACUGAGAGUGACUGGGCUGACUGCAAGUCCCCCCAGCCUUGGGGCCAUAUGCUUCUGUGGACAGCUGUGCUAUUCCUGGCUCCUGUUGCUGGGACACCUGCAGCUCCCCCAAAGGCUGUGCUGAAACUCGAACCCCAGUGGAUCAACGUGCUCCAGGAGGACUCUGUGACUCUGACAUGCCGGGGGGCUCACAGCCCUGAGAGCGACUCCACUCGGUGGUUCCACAAUGGGAAUCUCAUCCUCACCCACACGCAGCCCAGCUACAGGUUCAAGGCCAACAACAAUGACAGUGGGGAGUACACGUGCCAGACUGGCCAGACCAGCCUCAGCGACCCUGUGCAUCUGACUGUGCUUUCUGAGUGGCUGGUGCUCCAGACCCCUCACCUGGAGUUCCAAGAGGGAGAAACCAUCGUGCUGAGGUGCCACAGCUGGAAGGACAAGCCUCUGGUCAAGGUCACAUUCUUCCAGAAUGGAAAAUCCAAGAAAUUUUCCCGUUCGGAUCCCAACUUCUCCAUCCCACAAGCAAACCACAGUCACAGUGGUGAUUACCACUGCACAGGAAACAUAGGCUACACGCUGUACUCAUCCAAGCCUGUGACCAUCACUGUCCAAGCGCCCAGCUCUUCACCGAUGGGGAUCAUUGUGGCUGUGGUCACUGGGAUUGCUGUAGCGGCCAUUGUUGCUGCUGUAGUGGCCAUGAUCUACUGCAGGAAAAAGCGGAUUUCAGGUUUGUAGCUCCUCCCAGUCCCUUUUGUUAUAAGUUUCCACUUGGCCCAGGCCCUAACCCCAGACAUUGCCAGAAUCCCUCUCUUUGGGCUAGAUAGACAUUCAAAUCUAGGCCCGUAUUGUAUUAUAUUCAUUCGUUCAUUUAUUAGAUCAUUCAUUUGACAAGACUUGAACAAACUAGCUUAUGUGUCAGCCAAUGCGUGAGACAUGGUGGGUGAUGCCAAGAUGAAGUCCAGUCCCUGCCCUUGGGGAGUUCUCAGCAUUGUGAGGAAGACAGGGUCAUUAUAAUAAGAUGGGAUAAGAGCAAUGAUAAGGACAGGAAAAGCUUAGGAUAGAAGUACAGAGGAGGCUCCAUAGCCCAACAAGGGCUGAGGCAGUUGGAGAAGGUCUCAGGGAGAGCAGUGUAGUGUAGUGAUGGAGUGCACAUAGUGGGGCCGGACUGCCUGGGUUCAAAUCUAGUUCUACAGCAUACCAACUAUAUGACCCAAGUGAGUCACUCCACCUCUCUCUGCCUCAGCUGUCUCAUGUGGAAAAUGGGGACACUAAUAGGACUUACCUCACAGGGUUGCCAUGGGGAUGAAAGAGGCUGACACUCUUACACCAGUGCCUGGUAGGCAGUUACAGCACACAAACAGGGCUGUUGCCAUUCUGGAGGAGGUGGUGUGUGAGGGCAGCGCUUAGCUAGGGAAGGAGGACUCCCCAGGCACUGGGUCAAGGCAGGGAUUGAAGCUGGGUGGGGCUCAUAUGGGUGUCGAAGGGGGAGUAGAGAGGAUACUGCAAGCCUCUGAGAAAGAGAAAUAAUCCCACUAACACCUCACAAAGCACUUUGCAAUUGGUUCAUAGCCAGGACCUCAGUUACUGAUGAUAAGUAAAUACAGAGAAACAGAGAGAGAGAGAGACUGAGACACAGGGGUGUUUUUAAAAGGCAGAGCAAGCCUCAGACAGAUGCCAUGGAGUGGCCUUUCUGACACUUCUGGGCAUCCCCAUGGGUGAGCUGAAUUCUGCCUCUGGACUAGCCCUUUUCCAGGCGGGAGCAGCCCCUGAGCAGGGGAACUGGGGGUGGGAGGACAGGAAACGUCUGCCAGAGGGAAGGCCUGAGCUGGUCCCAUCCAAUCCUGGCCCUGGUCCUUGGUCCUGAGUUCUCAGGCCCCACCGCCUAAUCCUACUAACCUCCUGUGUGCCCCUCCCAGCUCUCCCAGGAAACCCUGAGUGCAGGGAAAUGGGAGAGACCCUCCCUGAGAAACCAGGUGAGUAAAGGGUUGUCUCAGGGAUUCAGUGAUGGCUCACCAGGGCUGCCGGCUGGACCGGAGCCAGCGAGAAGGGGCUUGUGCGAGUUCAGCUGGGAGCCAGGGAGGGAGCAGCGAUGGGGGGAUGGCCGGGGCUCAAAUCGCUUGGUCAGCUCUGAGUCUAACUCCUGGGCCUAAAGAUGACCUCUCUGGAGAUGAGAAGAGAAACACCAGUCCCAGAUAUAGAGGAGAGGGCUGUGUCUGAAUUUCUGGUACCAGGAAUCUGGUGAUACUUCCAGAGCAGGAAAUCAGAGAUACUUUGGUCUUUCUGUGGAGCUUUGGCAGAGCUGGCAAAGGAUAGGGCUAGCGGCUGUAAGACUGAGGCCAAUCAGAUAUGGGAGGCAGGAGUCUAAGGGAAAAGGAGGAGGAGGCCUGGAAACCCCUCGAUUUGCUGAGGAAUCUGCCUCUGUGGAGGGAUGGGGUGGAGUGGCCAGGCUCAGCUGUCUGUGGAACACUAAGAGGAGGUUUGGGCUUGAGAAAAUUCUGGGGGACUAGGGGCACUAGUGGGCUCUACUCUGUGGGCAAAGCUCAGUUCUGAUGCCCACGCACUCAAGGUUGACUGAAUUUUAGCCUGGUUCUGCCCCCAUCACACAGUGGAGCCUUGAGCAAGUCAGUCUCCCUGAUGGGGUUCAGUCUCCUCACUGAGGAAAUGAGUGGGUGGCCGGGGUGAUCUCUCAGGCCUUCUAGAUUUGACAUUCCGAGAGCCAAGGGUCACCCAAGCCCUGGCCCAGGUGGGAGUGUGUAAAGGAACUUCCAGGAGGAUGCCAGGCAACUUCCAGACUGUAGUUAAAGUCAGAGCACAAAGGAAACCAGGGCUUUCUCCGGGGGUUUCCAUGACAGUAAGAACAGGCAGAAAAAAGAGGCUGUCAAAGACCCCAACUCAGAAGGCUGGAGUAUGAUUCAGAGCAGAGCCAACAGAUUUAAGAGCUUGAGCAAAAUAUCACUUGUUCAGCUGUGCUUGCAGCAAGGUCACGUGUCCGCUGGCCAGGCCCAGUGGGGAAUAGGGGCCUGUGUUCACACCAGGGCCAAAGCAGAUCUGGAAAAAACAAAGUCCAAGCAACUGGAUUAUCCGUCUUGUUGUGUGGUUCUGUCUACACUGGCAUAAGCACAUUUCACAAGGCACUUUUGCAGCCAGGCAUUGGGGCUGCAUAAAUGGUUUUUAAAAAAUCCUUUCCCAAAAGGCAGAGCUGGGUUGCUGGGAUUCCUGGGGAAUGUAUUAGAAUGGGAAUUCAGAAUGUGGCUUACUGCAGAAUUUACAUCAUGGCAAUAAAGGCUCUCUGUGUUCAGGGGGUGAGAGAAGAGACUAGAUGCAUUGUCUCAGAUGUCUCCUGACUUCCUGAGAAAUGCCACUUUGCAGAUACUGGGGCUGCUUUUCACACUGCAGAUACUGGGGCUGCUUUUCACACUGGCUAAGUCAGUUCAUGGCAAAAUAUGAGGGAAUUCAGUGUGUUUCAGACACUAACCAGACAAAGUCCAUCCUUCCUUUCUCCUUCCCUCCCUCCCUUCCUCCCUUUCUCACUCACUCUCUCUUCCCUUUUAAUGCCAUGGAGUACCAUAUUUUUCAAAGUUCCAACAAAGAUGCACUACAUUUAGACAAUGUGGAAAUGGCCCUCAGCCUUCUCUCCCAGAAGUCUGUGGCCAGCAAAAAUCUGGACUUUACUUCACUCUGAUGCUGAACACCCCCCUCCCCCACCUCUUCCCCAAUAUCUCAGAUCCCAAGCCUCCCUGGUUUGCUUCUAGGAAAGCUCAGCAAUUCCUUGAAAAGAAUGUAGCUCAAGUGACUGCUCCACUUUUUCACCUUGGCCUGUGGGGAAGGCUGUGGCUGGGCUACCCUGUGCAUGGAUCAAUGAGGUCAUAUUUACCCAGUGCUUGGCCUAGAGGCCCAAGACAGGGUCAGCAGUGCUUGCUUUGGCUCUAGUUUGAGCGUUGGUUUUGCAGCCUCAGCAUCAGCACAGGCAGGCCCUCGUCACCAGCAGUGCUCUGGCUGAUAUUUCUUCUUUUUCCCACAGCCAAUCCCACUAAUCCUGACGAGGCUGACAAAGUUGGGGCUGAGAACACAAUCACCUAUUCACUUCUCAUGCACCCGGAUGCUCUGGAAGAGCCUGAUGACCAGAACCGUAUUUAGUCUCCAUUGUCUUGCAUUGGGAUUUGAGAAGAAAAUCAGAGAGGGAAGAUCUGGUAUUUCCUGGCCUAAAUUCCCCUUGGGGAGGACAGGGAGAUGCUGCAGUUCCAAAAGAGAAGGUUUCUUCCAGAGUCAUCUACCUGAGUCCUGAAGCUCCCUGUCCUGAAAGCCACAGACAAUAUGGUCCCAAAUGACCGACUGCACCUUCCGUGCUUCAGCUCUUCUUGACAUCAAGACUCUUCCGUUCCACAUCCACACAGCCAAUCCAAUCAAUCAAACCACUGUUAUUAAUAGAUCAUAGCAACUUGGGAAAUGCUUAUGUUACAGGUUACAUGAGAACAAUCAUGUAAAUCUAUAUGAUUUCAGAAAUGUUAAAAUAGACUAACCUCUACCAGCACAUUAAAAGUGAUUGUUUCUGGGUGAUAAAAUUAUUGAUGAUUUUUAUUUUCUUUAUUUUUCUAUAAAGAUCAUAUAUUACUUUUAUAAUAAAACAUUAUAAAAAC
rnacentral:sRNA from 1 species